UACAGAGGGUGCGAGCGUUGUUCGGAAUUAUUGGGCGUAAAGAGCUCGUAGGCGGUUCGGUAAGUCGGGUGUGAAAACUUUGGGCUCAACCCAAAGCCUGCACCCGAUACUGCUGUGACUUGAGUCCGGUAGGGGAGUGGGGAAUUCCUGGUGUAGCGGUGGAAUGCGCAGAUAUCAGGAGGAACACCGGUGGCGAAGGCGCCACUCUGGGCCGGUACUGACGCUGAGGAGCGAAAGCGUGGGGAGCGAACAGG
rnacentral:rRNA from 1 species